rnacentral:rRNA from 1 species
UACGAAGGGGGCUAGCGUUGUUCGGAAUUACUGGGCGUAAAGCGCGCGCAGGUGGUCUUUCAAGUCAGUGGUGAAAGCCCGGAGCUCAACUCCGGAAAUGCCAUUGAAACUGUAAGACUUGAGGAUGAGAGAGGUGAGUGGAAUUCCCAGUGUAGAGGUGAAAUUCGUAGAUAUUGGGAAGAACACCGGUGGCGAAGGCGGCGCUCUGGACCGAGACUGACGCUGAGGCGCGAAAGCGUGGGGAGCAAACAGG